GAGGUUAGAACGUAAAAUGUUUGGAAUGCCAAUUAAACCAAUUUGAAUUACCCGGUACGUGUGAACUCAGCAUGGUAUGCUUCAUGUAUUGGAAUAAAAUAAAAUAUCAAAGUGCAAUUAUAGUUGCUCAUAUUGCCUUUGGCUAAGGAAAGAAAAGUUAUAUUAUGUCCUUUUUUUAAAUAAUGAUGAAUAUCAUGUUUUUUUUUUUUUUUAAUGUACAAAAAAC
rnacentral:lncRNA from 1 species